rnacentral:rRNA from 1 species
GGAGAGGAAGAUCAGCCACACUGGGAUUGAGAACGGCCCAGACUCCUACGGGGGGCAGCAGUGAGGAAUUUUCCGCAAUGGAGGAAACUCUGACGGAGCAACGCCGCGUGCAGGAGGACGCUUUUCGGAGUGUAAACUGCUUUUCUGUGGGAAGAGGAAGGACGGUACCACAGGAAGAAGCCCCGGCUAACUACGUGCCAGCAGCCGCGGUAAUACGUAGGGGGCGAGCGUUGUCCGGAGUUACUGGGCGUAAAGGGCAUGCAGGCGGUCGGACGCGUUUUGUGUGACAGCGGGUGGCUUAACUACCCGAGUAUGCGAAAGACGGUUUGACUUGAGGGCUCGAGAGGGACACGGAAUUCCGGGUGGAGUGGUGAAAUGCGUAGAGAUCCGGAGGAACACCGAAGGCGAAGGCAGUGUCCUGGCGAGUGACUGACGCUGAGGUGCGAAAGCUAGGGGAGCGAACGGGAUUAGAUACCCCGGUAGUCCUAGCCGUAAACGAUGACCACCAGGUGUGGGAGGUAUCGACCCCUUCCGUGCCGGAGUAAACACACUAAGUGGUCCGCCUGGGGAGUACGGUCGCAAGAUUAAAACUCAAAGGAAUUGACG